AGAUGACAGUGACUUCCUCCUAACCACCUUCAACCAGGAACAUUAUUGCUUGAAGCAGAAAUGUCGUCCGGAGUAUUCAGAACUAUCGCUACCCGCGUUGCUCCGGCACUGCGGAGUACGGCUGUCGUCCAGCGGGCCAACGUGUUCACCAGACCGGCCAAAGACGCCCUUGGUCCUGUUGAGACAGCCAUUGGCUUGGGCAUGUUUGCUCUAGCUAUUCUGGGACCUGCCGGCUGGAUCCUGGCUAACUUGGAGAGCUACAAGAGCAAAGAUUAAUCUGGACUGUGUGCAGAUGGAACAUCCAGCAUUGUCGUUACCAAUACAUUCAAUAUUUACAAGACAAACCCGGGACCAUCACCUCAAACUGUCAAGUUUACUUAAAUAUUGCGGAACAAACCUUUAAACUGUCCUACUACCUCUGCAGCAGUAUACUCUUCUUACUCCAACAAACCAGCUGUCAAAACCAUAAGGCGGCACUAAAAUGGCUCCUCAUAAUUGACAUCCUUCACUGAGGAUAAUGUUACUUGUGUAAUAAAACCUGAUAAUUUAAACUUUA